UCUAGUCGCAGACGGUCGGUUUAAGUUUCAUUAAAAGAAGUUCGACUCUACACAAGGCAGAAAAAGUUUCGCAACGAGAUAAAGAUGCCUUUCAUCCUUAAAGCAGACGGAAUGCGUCGGGAGACGGAUGCGAGCAAGAAGACUCUUUAAAGGAGAUGUUCAUAACUGAGUAAAGAAGAAAAGCAUAAAAUGUCCAUCCUUGCACAUAAUAUUAAAAACGGCCUUAUCAUUAACAAGUUCAAUAAAGAAUAUGUAAAAAUAAAAUAUUUAAGUGAAGGAAAUCGUUGAAUUGGAGGAAGGAUAUACUUUCUUAGCUAAGAAUUUUGGACGAUGAAUCCGAAUAAAGAAGCUUCCAAAGUGAGAGGAUAGGUAGAGAAUUGUAGGAGAAAAAAAUAGGGCUACAGGUGCAGUAAGUAGAGCUAAGUAAACAGAAAGAAGUGUAUUUUUUAUCAGUGAGUUUAUCAAUGUAUUCAUAUUAUUAUUUAUAUUGUUUGCAAAUAAAGUCUUCUGACAAAUGAAAUAAAAAUAUAGU